UGAAAUCAUCAUAUAAGUCGCGAAUACAUACAAAGCAUUAAACACAAUGAAUAAUCAAAGAAACUAACUUCGUAAUUCAUUGAUCAUAUCAAAUGAUAAUCACAUGGUUCAAGAUAAAUUGAAAUUAGAAUUCCCUAAGGACCAAUUAGAGUUUACCUACUCAUGAUAAAAUAAGAUAAAACAAAGGGAAGAAGAAAAUUGAACCAAAGAAGUCAUAAGCUUGCAACCACUAUCUUCAAUUCUCCAUUCCUUUUCACUGUACGCAGCUUUUUCCUCUU
rnacentral:lncRNA from 1 species